rnacentral:rRNA from 1 species
GACGAACGCUGGCGGCGUGCCUAAUACAUGCAAGUCGAGCGGAUGACGGAGGAGCUUGCUCCUCCUGAUUCAGCGGCGGACGGGUGAGUAACACGUGGGCAACCUGCCCUGUAGAUUGGGAUAACUCCGGGAAACCGGGGCUAAUACCGAAUAAUCCUUCGGACCUCAUGGUCCGAUGUUGAAAGACGGCAUCUCGCUGUCACUACAGGAUGGGCCCGCGGCGCAUUAGCUAGGUGGUGAGGUAACGGCUCACCAAGGCCACGAUGCGUAGCCGACCUGAGAGGGGGAUCGGCCACACUGGGACGGAGACACGGCCCAGACUCCUACGGGAGGCAGCAGUAGGGAAUCUUCCACAAUGGACGAAAGUCUGAUGGAGCAACGCCGCGUGAGUGAAGAAGGUUCUCGGAUCGUAAAACUCUGUUGUGAGGGAAGAACAAGUACCGGAGUAACUGCCGGUGCCUUGACGGUACCUCAUUAGAAAGCCACGGCUAACUACGUGCCAGCCGCCGCAGUAACAC